CGAACGCUGGCGGCGUGCCUAAUACAUGCAAGUCGAACGCUUCUUUUUCCACCGGAGCUUGCUCCACCGGAAAAAGAGGAGUGGCGAACGGGUGAGUAACACGUGGGUAACCUGCCCAUCAGAAGGGGAUAACACUUGGAAACAGGUGCUAAUACCGUAUAACAAUCGAAACCGCAUGGUUUUGAUUUGAAAGGCGCUUUCGGGUGUCGCUGAUGGAUGGACCCGCGGUGCAUUAGCUAGUUGGUGAGGUAACGGCUCACCAAGGCGACGAUGCAUAGCCGACCUGAGAGGGUGAUCGGCCACAUUGGGACUGAGACACGGCCCAAACUCCUACGGGAGGCAGCAGUAGGGAAUCUUCGGCAAUGGACGAAAGUCUGACCGAGCAACGCCGCGUGAGUGAAGAAGGUUUUCGGAUCGUAAAACUCUGUUGUUAGAGAAGAACAAGGAUGAGAGUAACUGUUCAUCCCUUGACGGUAUCUAACCAGAAAGCCACGGCUAACUACGUGCCAGCAGCCGCGGUAAUACGUAGGUGGCAAGCGUUGUCCGGAUUUAUUGGGCGUAAAGCGAGCGCAGGCGGUUUCUUAAGUCUGAUGUGAAAGCCCCCGGCUCAACCGGGGAGGGUCAUUGGAAACUGGGAGACUUGAGUGCAGAAGAGGAGAGUGGAAUUCCAUGUGUAGCGGUGAAAUGCGUAGAUAUAUGGAGGAACACCAGUGGCGAAGGCGGCUCUCUGGUCUGUAACUGACGCUGAGGCUCGAAAGCGUGGGGAGCAAACAGGAUUAGAUACCCUGGUAGUCCACGCCGUAAACGAUGAGUGCUAAGUGUUGGAGGGUUUCCGCCCUUCAGUGCUGCAGCUAACGCAUUAAGCACUCCGCCUGGGGAGUACGACCGCAAGGUUGAAACUCAAAGGAAUUGACGGGGGCCCGCACAAGCGGUGGAGCAUGUGGUUUAAUUCGAAGCAACGCGAAGAACCUUACCAGGUCUUGACAUCCUUUGACCACUCUAGAGAUAGAGCUUCCCCUUCGGGGGCAAAGUGACAGGUGGUGCAUGGUUGUCGUCAGCUCGUGUCGUGAGAUGUUGGGUUAAGUCCCGCAACGAGCGCAACCCUUAUUGUUAGUUGCCAUCAUUUAGUUGGGCACUCUAGCAAGACUGCCGGUGACAAACCGGAGGAAGGUGGGGAUGACGUCAAAUCAUCAUGCCCCUUAUGACCUGGGCUACACACGUGCUACAAUGGGAAGUACAACGAGUCGCAAAGUCGCGAGGCUAAGCUAAUCUCUUAAAGCUUCUCUCAGUUCGGAUUGUAGGCUGCAACUCGCCUACAUGAAGCCGGAAUCGCUAGUAAUCGCGGAUCAGCACGCCGCGGUGAAUACGUUCCCGGGCCUUGUACACACCGCCCGUCACACCACGAGAGUUUGUAACACCCGAAGUCGGUGAGGUAACCUUUUGGAGCCAGCCGCCUAAGGUGGGAUAGAUGAUUGGGGUGAAGUCGUAACAAGGUAGCCGUAUCGGA
rnacentral:rRNA from 2 species